rnacentral:rRNA from 1 species
GACGAACGCUGGCGGCGUGCUUAACACAUGCAAGUCGAACGGAAAGGCCCUGCUUUUGUGGGGUGCUCGAGUGGCGAACGGGUGAGUAACACGUGAGUAACCUGCCCUUGACUUUGGGAUAACUUCAGGAAACUGGGGCUAAUACCGGAUAGGAGCUCCUGCUGCAUGGUGGGGGUUGGAACGUUUCGGCGGUUGGGGAUGGACUCGCGGCUUAUCAGCUUGUUGGUGGGGUAGUGGCUUACCAAGGCUUUGACGGGUAGCCGGCCUGAGAGGGUGGCCGGCCACAUUGGGACUGAGAUACGGCCCAGACUCCUACGGGAGGCAGCAGUGGGGAAUAUUGCACAAUGGGCGGAAGCCUGAUGCAGCAACGCCGCGUGCGGGAUGACGGCCUUCGGGUUGUAAACCGCUUUCGCCUGUGACGAAGCGUGAGUGACGGUAAUGGGUAAAGAAGCACCGGCUAACUACGUG